CGCAUCUGUGCAUGCAGCAUAUCAAUAAGCGGAGGAAAAGAAACUAACAAGGAUUCCCUUAGUAACGGCGAGUGAAGCGGGAAGAGCUCAAAUUUGAAAUCUUCAAGGUUUUACCUUGACGAAUUGUAGUUUAAAGAAGUGUUUUCUGUUGAAGUUUUGGUAAAAGUUCUUUGGAAUAGGACAUCAUAGAGGGUGAGAAUCCCGUAUUUGACCAUUACUUUCAACUUUGUGAUACACUUUCAAAGAGUCGGAUUGUUUGGGAAUGCAGUCCAAAAUGGGUGGUAAAUUUCAUCUAAAGCUAAAUAUUGGCGAGAGACCGAUAGCGAACAAGUACCGUGAGGGAAAGAUGAAAAGAACUUUGAAAAGAGAGUUAAACAGUACGUGAAAUUGUCAAAAGGGAAGCGUUUGACACCAGUGUUGUUUUCUCGAAAAUCAAUUAAAAAGAGUUUGAUUUUGUUGUGUAUUGACCUUAACAGCUUGCAUUUCAAUUUUCUUGCUUUUUUUAAUGCACUUUUCGUUUAACAAGUCAACAUCAGUUUCUUUUGUUGUAAAAAGGUCAUUGGAAGGUGGCUUUCUUUUCGGAGAAAGUGUUUAUAGCCUUUGACUCCUGCAAUCGGAGAGACUGAGGUCUGCAGCGUAGAUCCUUCGGGGUUAGAUACAUUUGUGCUAAGUUAUAGCUUUUUAUAGACAACUUGUUGACUAUGAUUAGUCUUGUAGCUUACUCGCUUAUGCUAUUUUACCUACGCUUAGGAUGUUGAUGUGAUACUGCGAGCA
rnacentral:rRNA from 1 species